rnacentral:ncRNA from 1 species
UACCUGGUUGAUCCUGCCAGUAGUCAUAUGCUUGUCUCAAAGAUUAAGCCAUGCAUGUCUAAGUUCAAGCGAAAAUAAAGUGAAACCGCGAAUGGCUCAUUACAUCAGUUAUGGUUCCUUAGAUCGCACUUACUACUUGGAUAACUGUGGUAAUUCUAGAGCUAAUACAUGCGCUGAGCUCCAACCCUCGUGGAAGGAGCGCUUUUAUUAGAUCAAAGCCAAUCGGGCCUUCGGGUCCGUUACAUUGGUGACUCUGAAUAACUUUGCUGAUCGCACGGUCUCGUACCGGCGACGUAUCUUUCAAGUGUCUGCCUUAUCAACUGUCGAUGGUAGGUUAUGCGCCUACCAUGGUGGUAACGGGUAACGGGGAAUCAGGGUUCGAUUCCGGAGAGGGAGCCUGAGAAACGGCUACCACAUCCAAGGAAGGCAGCAGGCGCGCAAAUUACCCACUCCCAGCUCGGGGAGGUAGUGACGAAAAAUAAACCGUCGUAACGUUGAAAGUAGCUCACCCUGCAAUGCUAUGAUAAAAUGAGUUAACUAUGUAUUUGCAUAUUCGCGUUUAAUAAUUUGGAUAAUGUCAAAUAGAGCCAUGUAGAAAAAUGCAUAGAACUUGCGUUAUAUAAUUUAAAACAUUUGUAACUAUGAUCACGUCGUGUGUCAGACGUAACAAACAUCAGAUCAAGAAAACGAAUUCUGAAUUGAUCAUUU